UAAGUACAUACUCUGGAGCACUCUUACUCUCCUUCAUACCUUGCAGUCUUCUUUUCUUCUCCUCUCCUUAACUGAAGGUCAAAUAAAGCAUCAGGUAAGCCCCAGAGACUGUCUGUACACCCUGAGAUGAGCAUGCAGGUCUGUGGGUGCAACCACAGCAUCAUCUGAUCAUCGCUGCUGUGUGAAGGCUCCAUCCAGACCCACUUUCUGAUUUCCAUUUUGGGCCCCCUUCAGGCACUGGAAGGCCUCUAUAAGAUCUGCCCAGAACCUUUUAUCCUUCAGGCUGCAAAGCCCCAACUCCCUCUCCCAUAGUGGAGGUACAGCAGUCCCCUGAUCAUCUGUGUUGCCUCCUCUGGGCCUGUUCCAGGACUUCAAUGACAAGGAGCCAUUGCUUUUCCGUAGUGAUGCAUCAGGGUUUCAAUCACAAGCAGAGUUAUCUGGCUCAUGCCUCCUCAAGGAAAUCAUUACCCAUCCCUUUCCCUUCUCUCUGUCUCUCUGGUUUUGGUAACAAUACCCACUCCAAGCACCGUGGGGUCAGGAGGUGCCCAUUCACAUUGUGACUGUUGAAGACAAACAAGGAGCCAUCGCUUCCCAGGUGGCUUUCGGGAGGCUUGAAAAGACUUUUGGCUGAUGCAGCAAUUAAAUAACUGCAGUUGAAGGAGACCUUGGUAUCAUAAAAAGUGCUCACUACUAGUUGCAUUUUCUGCCUGAGGGACUCUGUUUUUGAGAAGGUGACAAACUGGAUGAAGCAACAUCCCUGACUGUGCCCAUGGAGCACCUAUAAGUGGGAAAAAACCUGCAUGUCAUCAGCAUUUCAAACAAAACAAAAGUUACCACUUCAUGAAUUCAGAGUGAUCUAUUUUCCUGCUGCUUAAUGCUUUAUUGGAUCUGCACAGCCCCCUGCAGAUAAGCACAGAAACGCUGCACUGGAAGAUCUUUCAUAGCUCUGAAUGUUAAUCUGUUUAGAAAACAGAUUCAGAAUUCAGAGGCAGAAAUAUCUGGCAUGGAGUACCUGCAGUUAUUAGUUUUUUGGCUGAAAUAAUUUGUUAUUUAAAUGUUUAAAUGCAUGUUAAAUAUUGCAAGUUCCACUGCAAGAGAAAAAGAGCUUAGUCUCCAGUCACUGGAGUUUGUAUACAUUGAUUACACACUGAGACACCAAUUUGUGAGCAUGUUAUUCUUUCACAGGGUGAGCUAGAGAGUGAGUUGG